rnacentral:rRNA from 1 species
UGGGGAAUAUUGCACAAUGGGCGCAAGCCUGAUGCAGCCAUGCCGCGUGUGUGAAGAAGGCCUUCGGGUUGUAAAGCACUUUCAGCGAGGAGGAAGGUGGUGAGCUUAAUACGCUCAUCAAUUGACGUUACUCGCAGAAGAAGCACCGGCUAACUCCGUGCCAGCAGCCGCGGUAAUACGGAGGGUGCAAGCGUUAAUCGGAAUUACUGGGCGUAAAGCGCACGCAGGCGGUUUGUUAAGUCAGAUGUGAAAUCCCCGGGCUCAACCUGGGAACUGCAUUUGAAACUGGCAAGCUAGAGUCUCGUAGAGGGGGGUAGAAUUCCAGGUGUAGCGGUGAAAUGCGUAGAGAUCUGGAGGAAUACCGGUGGCGAAGGCGGCCCCCUGGACGAAGACUGACGCUCAGGUGCGAAAGCGUGGGGCAGCAAACAGGAUUAGAUACCCUGGUAGUCCACGCUGUAAACGAUGUCGAUUUUGGAGGUUGUGCCCUUGAGGCGUGGCUUCCGGAGCUAACGCGUUAAAGUCGACCGCCUGGGGGAG